rnacentral:lncRNA from 1 species
ACGAAAUGGAUGGCAUGUGAUCACAACCAGUUGAAGAGGCAAGGCUGAGUUUUGUUUGAGGAUGACUUACGAGGGACCGGAGGACAUGGGGCAGCAGUAGAGGGUUCUCUUUUGGUUUCCGAUGGCACAAAAGCAAAAAGCUGAAAACCUUUGUGAGGGUAGUGGAUUGCCUUUUGAAGUUAUGAAUUGAUUACUGCACAGAUUGUGGGGGCGAGGUGGUGUCCAAGGCAACCCUUUUAUCGGAGGGGACACACCCUUUAUCAACAAUUUGGUG